ensembl:lncRNA
ACGAACGUGAAGAAACAAGAGCGCAUGACAGUGUAAUGUUUUAUUGGAAGAAUAUCGUAAACCACCGAUUAAAUCGUUACCAUGUCUCAUACCGGCACAUGCCUCGUUAUGAGUACCGGAUAUUAACUUAGUCAGGGGGUUUAAUUACACAGAAAGCUCACAAUUUAGAGCAACAAAACGUCUUCCCUAAUGCAUCCUGGAUUCAAUCAAAACAAAGUACAGUAAACAAAGAAGAGUGUGUGUAGAGAGAGAGAGAGAGAGAGAGAGAGAGAGAGAGAUGUCUGCAUGCAUCACACGACCUACACGUCAGCACUACUGAAUUAAACAUCCUUCACAGCGGAGCGGUUUAUAAAGGCGAUUGAAAUCCAGUCUGUAAAUCAGAACGUAAAAGAUUAUUAAAGUGCAUAAAUAACGCGGGAGGAAGGUCUGAGAAGUACACGAGUCCGGCGUGAUGGAUUAAAAUACCUUUCUGCAUUUGGAAAUACUUUUUAUGCGGAAGAUUACACCUCAAGCACAGAAGUCUGCCCCUGAAGGUUAAAGCCUGAUCAAAAGUUUGAUGGGGAAAAAAACUAAACUAACAAACUUCCGUUCUCCUCCAUUUUGGUGAAACGCUGAUUGUUAGUUAUUCAUCUGCAUAAUAUAUAAUAAGUGACUGUAUUUUAGGGUUACAGUGUGAUGCAUAAGUAUUCACCCCUACAUAUUAUUGUGUUACAACCCGGAACUGAAAUGGAAUUAAUUUGGACGACCAAUCUCUACAUGGUCAACAAAUUCACCUGUACUAUUGACGUGUGGGACACUGAAGCAUGGUGGUUACAGAUACAUGUAUACAGUGCUUUACAUAGUAUGUGGGGGGGAGCUAGAGAUCUCCUCAACCACCACUAGUGUGUAGUGUCCACCUGGAUGAUGCGACGGCGGCCAUAGUGCGCCAGAACUCCCAUCACACACCAGCUUUUGUUGGAGAGGAGAGAGUGACGUAGCCAAUUCAGAGAUGGAGAUUAUUAGGGGAAGUGAUAUUUCGCCAGGACACCGGGGUUACACCCCUACUCUUUUAAGAGAAGUGUCCUGGGAUAUCCCUGGAUACAUAUAAGGUGCUGUUUUUACAGUAUAUUGUCCCCAUCACUAUACUUGGGCAUUAGGACCCACAGGGUGAGCGCCCCCUGCUGGCUUCACUAAUACCACUUCCAAGUUUUCCCCGGGUCGUCUUCCAUCCAGGUUCUGGCCAGGCUCAACCCUGCUUAGCUUUAGUAGUACACCAGGCGAGAACUAUAGGGAGAAUCAUAUUUAGAGGUACCCUUGGCUUUUUAUUGGACGAAUUCUCUUUAUUCAGUCAGUGAAUAAAGUGAUUGAGAAGUCAUAUCAUUGGUUGAAUGGAGUCUGAAUGACCCCCCCCCAAAAAAAAGAAGGUAAGAAUAAACACAACCAUGAGGGAAUUAAUCAGAGAAACAACUACGCAGACAAGCAGCUCGACACGAUGCUCCCGCCACCAUGCUUCUCUGCUUCCCACCACCCCGAAUUUAACGUUAAAGUCUAUACUGUGUAGAUUCAUGACGUACGAUUCUAAUGAUGUUCAUUUCAGUUCACUACAAAAUGUGGAAAAGUGUGAGAAGAUGAACAUUGAUGCAAGGAACCGUGUAUAGAAAUCAAAUAAAAAUUUAAAAAAUCCACUCUAUCCAAUUUAUAAAGCUAUGUUCAGACAUCAGGGCAAAUCACAUGCUUUUUUUUAACGCGCGUAUCAACGACGGUUCUCGGCUCAAGCGUCCAACCGUCGAACGGGAUUAACAGUAGAACACGGGAUGCUAAACGUUCAGACUUUACCUGCACGCGGUUGAAGACAGAUAUGAAACGACAAAUAAUAUCCGAUACUGAAACCCGUCCCAACACCUACAGCAGGUCACGUGCUCCGUAACGGACACGUGUGUAGCCCCGGCCAUAACACGUGAAGAUCUGGUAUUAAAUUUAAACUUGCGACAAGCAAGGAAUAUGUAGUUUACUAACGAAAGAUUAAAGACCGGGCUUAAUAAUUCAAUUUUUUAAAACAGAAGUCAAGGUUUAGUGGUUAACCCCCCCCCCCCCAAAAAAAAAAAAAACUGCUUAAUUAAGUAUUUAUUAAUGUAAAUAUGUAAACUGCUCACUAAUUUAUUACGAAUAGUUUAUUGCUGAACUCAUUUUCCGUUAUCGCUGCUGCUCUCAUUCGCGAGCGCUACAGUCCUCGAAAAAAAUUCUAAUUAUUGUAAAUAUUACAGUUAUAUUAUAGUUAUAUGACAGUAUUACAGCUUCACGCUGGUUCCGUCAAAUAUCCGAUCUUCAGGAGGACCGCAGAAAAGCUACGCCAGUCGGAACAAGAAUGGCAACAAAUAAAUAAAUAAAUAAAUGACACAAAAAAUGUUGGAUUUGAGCUGUCUGCCUGAACAAAGCCUAAAGCAUUCAUCAGGAGAGGGAGAAAAAAAAUAAAAAAAAAAAAAAGAAGCUAAAGUUACAAUUUAUUACAUCACAAAUCUUCAAAUAGCGUCAACGUGACUCCUGGAGACCUGAUAAUUUUAAUUAAAAAAAAAAAAAAAAAAAAAAAAAAAAAAACAGCAAUCCCUCCAGUCAGGAUAGUUAAAAGAAUUCCUUCUUAGCUGGUCAUGAUUAAAGAACAAAUAAUAAUAAAAAACAUAAUAAUCGCAAUAUUUGUUGCACACAAUAUUAAUAUUGUUAUUUCGACACUUCAACAAUAUCGCUCCACCUCUCGAGGUGAAACCCAACCCAGAGAAAAAAAACCUUAAACAGAUUUCUGUUUAUUUCGAAUAAUUUCUAAUAGUUCUGAGGUAACGUUCACGUUCCUGUCAUGCGACGCGUCGAUACGUGGAACUGCACAACAGUUUCUCCGUAAGAAACAGGAAGUGUAAAUACGGAUCACGAGACCCGUGACGGUAGGAACGCGAUGGACGUUUGCGUCGGAUUCGGCUCCAAACCUCAGGAGGAACGAAACAGCGAGUCGCUGAGAGAUCCAAAAACACAACCUUCAGCUGGCCGGCUAACGUAGCACGACGUCAGCGGGAUAACCGCGGCGUCAAAGAAAAAACUCAUGCGGAUGAGAAUUAGGGCUGGACGACACGAUAUAAUAUCGAUAUCGCGAUAAACUGUCCCAAUACGCUUUGUUAAGAUACUGCUGGUAUUGUGAUGUAUUAAUAUUUGACAUUACUUGUAAAAUACAUUAACAAAUUUUUAAUUACAGUGUUUUAUUCCCCCCACCUUCUUCUCAAUCCUAAUUUAUUUAUUUUAAUAAAAGUAUCAGCAAGAAAAUAUUUUAAAUGUUAUAUAUAUAUAUAUAUAUAUAUAUAUAUAUAUAU